UACGUAUGGAGCAAGCGUUAUCCGGAUUUACUGGGUGUAAAGGGAGCGCAGGCGGCUUUGCAAGUCUGACGUGAAAGGCCGGGGCUCAACCCCGGGACUGCAUUGGAAACUGUAAAGCUAGAGUGCCGGAGAGGUAAGCGGAAUUCCUAGUGUAGCGGUGAAAUGCGUAGAUAUUAGGAGGAACACCAGUGGCGAAGGCGGCUUACUGGACGGCAACUGACGCUGAGGCUCGAAAGCGUGGGGAGCAAACAGG
rnacentral:rRNA from 1 species